CACCAAGUCAAGGGAGAAAAGAAAAAAUGAGCCAACUAAUUAGCUUGACCCAAUCCUAUUGAGGCACUCAAUGUGGUGCCCCUCUAGAUCCAAAUAGAUUAGGUUAGGAAUAAGGCAAUUGAUUUGAUAUAAAUCUUAUCUAAUAAAGAAUCAAAUCCAAAGAAGAAAUUGGGUUUAACCAUAUGCUAGCAUAGUGCACCUAAACCCAAUAGGAUUUCACCAAAACGUAAUCUAAUUGUGACUUCACAAGCCCAAUUGGCCAAUCC
rnacentral:lncRNA from 1 species